GAUGAACGCUGGCGGCGUGCUUAACACAUGCAAGUCGAACGGAAAGGCCCUGCUUUUGUGUGGUUCUCGAGUGGCGAACGGGUGAGUAACCCGUGAGUAACCCGCCCUUUACUUUGGGAUAACUUCAGGAAACUGGGGCUAAUACCUGCUAGGAGCUCCUGCUGCAUGGUGGGCGUUGGAAAGUUUCGGCGGUUGGGGAUGGACUCGCGGCUUAUCAGCUUGUUGGUGGGGUAGUGGCUUACCAAGGCUUGGACGGGUAGCCGGCCUGAGAGGGUGACCGGCCACAGUGGGACUGAGAUACGGCCCAGACUCCUACGGGAGGCAGGAGUGGGGAAUAGUGCACAAUGGGCGGAAGCCGGAUGCAGCAACGCCGCGUGCGGGAUGACGGCCUUCGGGUUGGAAACCGCUUUAGCUUGUGACGAAGCGUGAGUGACGGUAAUGGGGAAAGAAGCACCGGCGAACUACGU
rnacentral:rRNA from 1 species